GGUUCUUCUAAUUCUUAGUGGGGUAUGUAUGUGUGUGUGUGUGCGCAUGCACACAUGUAGAGUGGUCUUCUUUAAUAAUAAGAGUUUCUGUUGAGGUUGUAGGGAAUGCCUCUUGAUCUUCAUCUGUUCAGGGGAAUAGAAACAGGAAAACAAGAGUCAACCAAAUCUGCCUGGUUUCCUUUUUCAGUUUGGAUGGAUCAUA
rnacentral:lncRNA from 1 species